GAAGAGCAAAUGCACGAUUCACAAGUUUCGUUUCGCCAUUUUCAUUGCUGUUAAUUUCGCAAGAUCCCACGUGACCUCCUUUGGAUCAGUGAAAAGUGAAAAUUACUCGCGUCGUGAACAUAUAUGUUCAUCUCAGCGCAAAUCACGUUUUGCAUGCUAUAGCAGGAAGGGGGAUCAAUACUCUUCCUUUCGUGUUUUGAUAUCUUGUUGUUUUGCUACUCUCACUUCGGAGUUCGGAUGGUGUCUAGCAACGUUGGGUACCUCGUUUCUUGUGUGAGCAAGUGGUUGCUGUUUACGACGUGUUCAUAUAUCGAUUUGUAGCGCUGUAAUGUGCAAAUUAGCGGACUUUAUAGCGGCUCUCUAUUUUCCGUCGUUGUCUUUCGAGCAGCGCCUGUUGUUGCGGUAAAAAUCGAGUUGAAUGAAUCGCCACAGCCCCAACGUAUAUCGCGCAGUGUUGACCAAGACCAAGUAAAGCAGGAAUUCUGGCAUGGUAUGUGGCUGCACGGAGGAUUCCGAAAAAGAAAAACAACAACAUGGCUAAUAGGAUGUUGCUGCCCAGGGAGUCCUGGCGAAGAGGUUUACUCAUUCCAGAAGCAAGAAUUGUAUCAUUGUAAGGCGAAUGGAAAUAAACUGACAUCGACUGAGA